UACGGAGGGUGCAAGCGUUAUCCGGAUUCACUGGGUUUAAAGGGUGCGUAGGUGGGUUGGUAAGUCAGUGGUGAAAUCUCCAGGCUUAACUUGGAAACUGCAUUCGAUACUGCGGUGCUUGAGGACUGGAGAGGAGACUGGAAUUCAUGGUGUAGCAGUGAAAUGCGUAGAGAUCAUGAGGAAGACCAGUGGCGAAGGCGGGUCUCUGGACAGUUCCUGACACUGAGACACGAAGGCCAGGGAGCAAACGGG
rnacentral:rRNA from 1 species